AGUACGUUGCUGAAUGCUGUGACGAUCAUCUGAAACCGAUUCUGCUGCAUCUACCCUCUGUACCGUGCAACGUGUGUUUCUCAUGUGCUCUCCGUGGCCUGGCAUAUGCUCUUUAUACAGGCUUAUAAGACAGGUUACCCUGGCAGGACAGCCGUAUGAUCUUGAAUCUGUUUCCUGGAGCUUACCCUGAGGAAUGUUUCAGUUUCUAUGUGUCGCUGACUUUUCUUUGAUCAUCUGACAUUCCUGAGGUUUGCAAGCACAGAGGACAGGCACGUUACAAGUCCCUGCCUAUCAUUCUCAUCACCGCAAUGGGAACACAUCCCCCCUCAGCUGAGGGUGCGCUGAAGAUAUUAAAGGAAUUAGCAGAAGGACUAAGGGAGCAGAAAGCAGGUGAAGCGGCCGCUGUUUAAUGAAUGCCGUUUGCCCACCACGCAGUUCAGUGCUCCGUGGGGGCUGCUGGCACAAAAGGGUCCCAGUCCUGCACCGUGUUCAGCUGCAGCAGCAGUGAAUCUUCAUUAGUGGAUUUAAAUGUAAGAACUGGGGCAUAUAUAUGAAUAUUAAUGAAAGAAAGAUUGACUAACUUCAUGCUAUUAAAAGAUUUCUAGUCCCAGAGAGUAGGUGGAGCCUUUUAAAAAAUGUAUAAUGGAAUAUAAUGUGUGAUACACAACUUUCAGGGCACUAAGAGUGUGGAUUUUGUUCCCUUCUAAUUUUCUGUGUAUAUAAUGCUUUGCAAAUGUGAAAUAGAAAUAUGCCUUAAUUUG